CGCGCGAUGGCCUAGUGGCUAACGCUGAUGUUUUUCAUUUUUGAGGUCGUGGGUUCAACCCCCCACUGGGGUAA